UUGCACAUGAGUUACAUUUCAAUAGUGAGAUCCAGCUCAAGCUAGCAAAGAGACACAGCUCCAAAGUUUAGAGAAAGUAGGCUUGGGCUAGAAAAUGUGCUUUUCAGGAUCUAGAAGGAUUGCUCUGCAAUUUUUCAAGCAUCCAAGGUCAUGGAGUUUUUGGUUAUUUAUUUUUUCAACUUAGUGACGAGAUGCCACAAUCUCAGAGUAAUGGCAUUCUAUAGCUAUUAUUCCAUUGGAGGAAUGGAAUAAUGUAGAUAUUAUUUUCCAUAAUACCUAAAAACUUGCUGGUUUGUUGAUUCAGGGAAUUAAUUCACCCCAAGAAAAAAUAUUUGGAGUUCAGCUAGGCUGGGUUGCUGGUCCUAAUUGCCUGACAGGCAUUUAAGGAUGGAGGUACUGGUGGUGUUGGGAAGGGAGGGAGGGUGGGACAGUGGUGUCCCCUCUGUGGAGGACAACACACUCAAUUCCUGCUCACACUGACCCACUGUGCAGCUCCUGUGAGGUAACAAUCCAACUCAAAGCAUUUUCCUGUCCCCCACCCUGUUUUUCCUCUUCCUUGUUCCUUCUCCAGUUUGUGAAAUCCUGGCUUGAAAUUACUUAGAAUCCAUUUUACUUAGGUGGUUUUUCUUAUACAUACAUAACAUUGCACUGUUACAAAUAUUAAGUUCUUUCCCUUCCUUAGCAGCCUCCAGCAUAUAUAAUUUUGGCAAGCAGCUUGAAUAAACAUGUCUCUUCCCAUCAGGGCUGCAUAAACAUAUUGGGUGCUGCCUGAUCCAAGACACCUUUACUCUUUCCUAGGCAUUUGUGCAGUCUGCUUGCAGGAUGCUUUGGAAAAAAUUGGAGUCUCCAGAAUGGCUGAAAGUGCUCCCUCCAGAUAUUUAAUGUACAAAUGAUUUUUCUUUCGCAAUCUCCCUCACUCACUCUCUCCCAUGUUCCACUUGGAAAGCAAACCCACCAGCAUUUAUUUUAUGUGAGCUCCACUUCAGAAUGAGUUGUCUCCAAGGCUACAGCACUAAAAAGCCCUGGAGGAGUUGGGUACUUGACUGCAAAGACACCAGCGAUGUGGAGGCCCUGCUUCUCCUUGUCAGUCAGCAGAAAUCAGUUUUUCUGGGAUUUCCAAAGGAAAAAACGCAGGGCUGCAGGCACCAGCUGCCCAUGAGGUAUCUGUCAUCCCUUCACCCCUUUGCAAACCUCAGCACGUGCAUCCAUCUCCUGGAGAUCCUUCCAGAAGUCCUUCAGGAGCCAUGGUGAAGGUCUAGAAGACAGCCCAUGGCAGAGCUCUGGCUCCAAGCCGUGGUGCUGUCCAUGAGUCCUGCUGUGCUCCUGGGCUGGGGGAACAGGGAGACUUGGACAUUGUCAAACUCUGCUCACAGCCAUCAGCAGGAAUGUGCACAGUCUCAAAUGGAAGAGCUGUAAUUAUUUAAAUUGUGCAAGAAUUAACCAAAUAAUUGGGCCAGGUCUUCUAUCCAGUUUAUACUUUUUGUGCCCUAGGUGGAAUUUAAAAAUAUUAUAGUAACUUAGCUGAUUGUAUUUUUCUGGACUUCAAAGCUGUUCUGAAAUUUUUAAAUUUUCAGGAUGAAAACCAAGUUUUUGAGAAUUUUUGUCUGAGAAAAAGCAGUGUUUAGCUCAGAUUGGAGAUUUUGUUAGUGGUAAAAGGUAUCAGACUAACCAAUACCAAUCCUGGCUUGGUCAUGAGGACAAGGGACAAGAAAGUAAAGCAGACCCUAAAGAAAGAAUCAAUCUAAGCAGCCUCAUGGCUGAGUAUCAAAACAAUAGUCAAACAAUUUAAACCUAUUUUAUUUACCAGAGUAAAUCUAACAAUGGGGCAAUUUUCAGCCCUAUUUCCUAAUGUCAACCAUUUCACCAUCUGAGUUUAAUCCCAGAAGUUCCUCUCUUCCCUGAGCUUUACCCCAAUGUCUGUGAUUUUGUGGAAAGGAGAUGGGAUCCAGACACCUCCAACACUUCACCUGCUGAAAGGUCAGAUGGCAUAAGCUAAAUGGCACCAUUUAAAAUGUCUUACCAACGUGUUGCCUUUGAAAUGUGAAGAGAUCAAAGCUAAGAUUUAGGGCAGAAUUACUUGAGAAUUGAGCUGACAGCUUAUUUACAUUAUUAUUAAUGGUAGCAUUAACAGGACAGUCACACCCCAAGGGAGCUUUGCACUGUACACACGUGUCAAAGGCAAAUUCCCUGCCCAAAUAGCAAACAACUAAAAAGAAUUCACUCCCUGUCUCUUCAUUUUCGACAACAGUGAAAAUUUCAAAUGGAGACACUGAAGAUUGAAGUCUCUGAAGACACUGAAGAUUGAAGUGCCACCUGCAAUAUCAAGAAGUACUUUUGAAUAUAGUGCAACCCUCAUGAAACACAGGGAAGCAUUUUAGAAUAAUAGAAUAAUACUGGUGACACACUGACACAAAUAAUUCAUUUUACUCUCUGUUCCAGCCCUCUCAAUUUUAUCCAUCAAUACUUUUCUUUCUGGCUGCAUCAUUUGAACUUAUGCUGGAGUGAUAAUUAAUGUGUGUUUCAAGUAGUUUGAGCCAUGAAGGUGUCUGGUUACUUGGAAACUCUUCCCAUUGUCUUGAUUUUAAUUAAACUGUUCCACUUUGCACCUUUCAGUAGAUUUUUAUUAAAAUAAAAUCUCAUAUUGGAGAGACUCUGGAAAUUUC
rnacentral:lncRNA from 1 species